CCCUGAGAUCCUGGUGUGACGAAGCUCUGGGGGACGUGAGACUGGCUGCUGAGUUCGCAUACAAGAAAUAUCUGCUCAUCCAUAUCCAUGGCUUCCCUAUUCCAGGAAACAAAAAUAGCCUUGACGAACAUCAGCUGAUGAAUGGGUAAUGAAGAUGUGGUUUAUUUAUCCAAAAGGAAAUCAUUCAGCUCUUAAUAAAAACUAAACUCACAGG